GCCGCCAUGGCGGCGCUGCACGCCAAGGCGGGCGGCCCCCCGCAGAUCCCCGACACGCGGCGCGAGCUGGCGGAGCUGGUGAAGCGCAAGCAGGAGCUGGCGGAGACGCUGGCCAACCUGGAGCGGCAGAUCUACGCGUUCGAGGGCAGCUACCUGGAGGACACGCAGAUGUACGGGAACAUCAUCCGCGGCUGGGACCGCUACCUCACCAACCAGAAGAACUCCAACAGCAAGAACGACCGCAGGAACCGCAAGUUCAAGGAGGCCGAGCGGCUCUUCAGCAAGUCCUCCGUCACCUCGGCCGCGGCGGUCAGUGCAUUAGCUGGAGUCCAAGACCAGCUCAUUGAGAAGCGGGAGCCAGGCAGUGGGACAGAAAGUGACACUUCCCCCGAUUUCCACAAUCAAGAGAAUGAGCCCAGCCAGGAGGAUGCUGAAGAGCUGGAUGGCUCUGUGCAGGGGGUGAAGCCCCAGAAAGCUGCUUCCUCCACUUCCUCUGGCAGCCACCACAGCAGCCACAAAAAAAGGAAGAACAAAAAUCGACACAGGUAUGUAUAUUAGGUUAGGCUGGGAAGUUUUUUUUAAAAACAGAAAAGCGUGAUGGAGGAUUGAUCUCAAGUUAAACAAAAAGCCAAGAGCCGACUACUAGACUCAUCAGUGCUGAAGCGCCCGGGAUUUAGGUCUGUGCGACUCCCCACCGAGCAAAUGCAACUCAACUGCAUGAGCCUGAUGGCAGCUCUGUGGCCAAGCACCUGCAUAUAGGAGUGCUUCACUCUCAAGAACUCAGAUAGGGGGGAAAUAGUCCUGGACCAUGUACUUUGCAUCAUUUUCAAAUCACCCAAGUUGCAACAAGACGAAGGUGUGGUAGGGGCAGUCUUGGGCGCCGGAGCAUUCUGUGCUUCCAGCUCAGUGGGGAAUUUCCUACAGCUGGCUCAUACCCCUGUCAUCUGUAACUGCAAUGGGGAGAUAUUUGCUUUUCCACUGGAAUCAGGGUAUGGUUCUGUAUGUCCCAUCCACAUUGUAAGACCGGUCAGUUACUUUUGAUAGUGCUAUUUAGCUGUGUCGUUUUUGUUUUCUUUUUUUAAUCUGAAGUGUGUAGUUAAUUGGCUUUUGUUUGUUUUAAUCCAUAUAGAGAGGAAGGGUCUUCAUUUUGUGGAACAACCCAUUUGAAUUCUUAUUCAAGCAGAGACGAAGGUGGUUUAACCCUUUUCUCUGAUUUUAUUUUAAACAGGAACCCUUAAAAGUGUGUGUAGUGCUUUUAGAUACAAGGAGGGCUGAGCUCAAAGCCAUCUUGCUCUUUGCUGUCUUUGAGGUUGGGUGUGUUCUCUUUUUAAUACAAUCCUCUGUCAUUUGUACAUAAACAAUAAAUGUUUCAUCUUUG